CCCGAUGUGAGAAUUAUAAGGUCUUUAAUGUGCCUGGAAAAUUCAAAGAGGUGAAUUCUGAAUUAAAUGGAUGAGACGAAAAAAGGUUAUCCAUUGGAACGUUCAGGACUGUUUGGACUAUUAUAUAGCUAAUAAUUCAGAAAUUCGAUGUGAAACUCAUCAUUCAGAAAAAGUGAUAUUUGAGAUUUAUGCUUGGAAGCUUGGAAGCUUGAAAGAUUGAGGAAUUUGUUAGCAGAGUGAGAUGGUAGCUUGAGAGAUGGACGAGAUACGAUAAUAUUUACACGAAUACGCGACGGCUACCACGACACUGAUUUCACCUUCAGGUUUGGUUGGGCGUCAGGGGGCCUCCCUGUACUGUGUGUAAUAAUGUGUUCUACUCCUUUGUCCAAUUUUUCUUUGCAUUUUUAUGUUUUUCAAUUUACCAAUUCUAAAUUCAAUUAUUUAUGCGUAGUUGAAUUGAAAAAUAUUCUGUAAAUCAUGUUUUUAUUGAUUUAUUUCAAAGAUAGAAUAGCGAUGUGACGAAACGGAAUAUUUCAAGUUCAACAUUUAUAUUAAUUAUGCAUUCGUCUUCGGUGUAAAUGUGAUUCUCCGAGAAAAUGUCACGAUGUUCAUUCAUUUUUUCAUAAUACAGACGCAGCUCCUUGACAUUCUCAUUAAAAAUCAUAAAUUUUUGGGAUGAAUUUCGAAUCAUUAUUUUGGAAUUAAAGAGAAUGUAAAGUUUUUCAAUGAAACUAGAAUAAAAUAGCCAAUUUUCUUGUUCAACCUUUAUCAGUUGACAAUGCACUCUAAUAUUUAUCCACAUCACAAAGCAUCGUUCCCCCUCAGCUUUAAAUUGCCCUUUUCUCUUGGCUAAAUAUUGAAAUUCAACAUAAAAAAAAAAGCUUGCGAAACAUUCUUAGAAAAUAAAUAUUCUUUUUGUCAUUCGAUAAAUUUUUAUUAUACGCUUUUCACGUAAAGCAGCAUAAUGAUUUUUUUU